GACGAUAUCACAUUGAAAAACCGGUUCUCGUGCGAUCCCCGACGUUAAACAACGUUGAGCCUGGUCAAUGCCUAGAUGGGUGACCACUUGGGAAUACCAGGUGCUGUAAG